rnacentral:rRNA from 1 species
AUUGAACGCUGGCGGCAGGCCUAACACAUGCAAGUCGAACGAGUGGCGGACGGGUGAGUAAUGUCUGGGAAACUGCCUGAUGGAGGGGGAUAACUACUGAAAACGGUAGCUAAUAGCGCAUACCAUCAGAUGUGCCCAGAUGGGUUGAGCUUGUUGGUGGGGUAACGGCGCACAAAGGCGACGAUCCCUAGCUGGUAUGAGAGGAUGACCAGCCACACUGGAACUGAGACACGGUCCAGACUCCUACGGGAGGCAGCAGUGGGGAAUAUUGCACAAUGGGCGCAAGCCUGAUGCAGCCAUGCCGCGUGUAUGAAGAAGGUCUUCGGGUUGUAAAGUACUUUCAGCGGGGAGGCGUUACCCGCAGAAGAAGCACCGGCUAACUCCGUGCCAGCAGCCGCGGUAAUAC